UCACCAAGGCGAAGACGGGUAGGGGGUGUGAGAGCACGGCCCCCCACAAUGGGACUGAGACACGGCCCAUACUCCUACGGGAGGCAGCAGCAGGGAAUAUUGCACAAUGGACGGAAGUCUGAUGCAGCGACGCCGCGUGGACGAUGAAGGCCUUCGGGUUGUAAAAUCCUUUACGGGGUGACGAGGAAGGACGGUAGCCCCGGAACAAGCGUCGGCUAACUACGUGCCAGCAGCUGCGGUAAGACGUAGGACGCAAGCGUUAUCCGGAUUUACUGGGCGUAAAGCGUCUGUAGGCGGAUGAGUAAGUUGGGCGUGAAAGCUCCGGGCUCAACCCGGAGAGGCCGUUCAAUACUGCUGAUCUAGAGGAGGCCAGAGGGGAGUGGAAUUCCUGGAGUAGCGGUAAAAUGCGCAGAUAUCAGGAAGAACACCAGUGGCGAAGGCGGCUCCCUAGGGCCCACCUGACGCUGAGAGACGACAGCUAGGGGAGCGAACAGGAUUAGAGACCCUGGUAGUCCUAGCCGUAAACGAUGGAUGCUAGGUGUAGGGCCGUAGAGGCUCUGUGCCGGAGCGAACGCGAUAAGCAUCCCGCCUGGGGAGUACGGCCGCAAGGCUAAAACUCAAACGAAUUGACGGGGACCCGCACAAGCAUCGGAGCGUGUGGUUUAAUUCGAUGCUACACGAAGAACCUUACCUGGGUUUGACAUGGGCGUGGUAGUGAAGCGAAAGCGGAGCGACCCUUCGGGGAGCGUCCACAGGUGCUGCAUGGCUGUCGUCAGCUCGUGCCGUGAGGUGUCGGGUUAAGUCCCGUAACGAGCGCAACCCUUGCCCUUAGUUACAAGUGUCUAAGGGGACUGCCGGCGGGAAGCCGGAGCAAGGUGGGGAUGACGUCAAGUCAGCAUGGCCCUUAUAUCCAGGGCUACACACACGCUACAAUGGCCGGUACAGAGGGCAGCGAAGCCGCGAGGUGGAGCGAAUCCCAGAAAGCCGGUCGUAGUUCGGAUUGCAGGCUGCAACCCGCCUGCAUGAAGCUGGAGUUGCUAGUAACCGCGCGUCAGCCAUA
rnacentral:rRNA from 1 species